rnacentral:tRNA from 2 species
GGCUCCGUAGUGAAGUUCAUAUUGAGUUGCAAGCUCAUUGAUGUGCGCUUAGGGCGCAUCGGAGUCU